rnacentral:rRNA from 1 species
AUGCAGGUCAACAAAGCCCCCGGCCCGGAUAACAUUCCUGCUGAAUUUUAUCAGUGCUGUUGGGAUAUAGUUAAGGUUGAUAUAAUGCGUAUCUUUGAUAGUUUCCAUAAAGGUACCUUGGAUGUGCAGCGCCUUAACUAUGGGAUUAUUACUCUGCUGCCCAAGAUAUCUGGAGCUGACCGUAUCCAACAAUUUUGUCCCAUCUGUUUGCUUCGUUGUCCAUACAAACUCAUCACAAAAGUUAUGGACAGAAGGGUUGCUAGAUAUGCCAAUGUUCUUAUUAGUCCUACUCAAAAUGCUUUUGUGAAGGGCAGGAGCAUCAUGGAUGGGGUGCUGGCCCUUCAUGAACUUCUCAACUAUACUCAUGUUAAGAAAAGGGUCGGGGUAGUUCUCAAACUUGAUUUUGAGAAAGUAUACGAUAAGGUUAACUGGUAUUUCCUGUUGGAAUGCCAUAAGCUUCGGGGUUUUGACCAGAAAUGGUGCGGUUGGGUCGAGCAAAUCCUCCGCAAUGGCACGGUUAGCAUUAAACUCAAUAAUUGUGUGGGGCCGUACUUCCAAAGUGCUAUGGGGGUACGGCAGGGUGAUCCCCACUCACCUUUCCUCUUCAACCUUGCUGUGGAAUGCCUGACUAAAAUGAUUAAAAAUGCCUAG